rnacentral:lncRNA from 1 species
AAAUUAUAUGUGAAAUUACCAAAAUACCCUUUUAGUGUAUUAUUAGUUAUAUUAUUUAUGGAAUUUUAAAAUCUAAAGUGAUAAACCCUAAUGGUUAUGGCCAAUGUCUAAAAUGCCCUUCAUGGUAGACAUGAGAAGUCUAAACUACCCUUGUGCAUUAUUAAAGGAAGAAAUCAAUUAUUGGAGGGGAAAUUACCAUUUUGCCCUUUUGUCCACUUUAGUGCAUUAUUGGUGAAAUAAUUGUGUAUCAUUGCUACUAAUCCACCAAAUCCGGCCAACCACUCUAUUAUUGUCCUUUGAGCUCUAUAAUUACCAGCCAUAUCAGCAUCCAAGGCAAUCUAAGGGUCUAUAUAUAGAGAUUGAAGGAGAAAUAAUGAAAACACACUCUAAUAUUUUCUAAACUCUCUAGCUACACUCUCUCAACCUCUAGCCAACGAAUUUUCCUUGCCCAUAAGCUCAUAAUCAAAGCCCAACUAUCACAAACCACAAAUCAGAAGCAUCAAGAAGCUAGAAAUCAAAAAUCAAGCUUGAAAAGGUAGGAAAUCCUAAAUUCUAGAAAUCCUUCGAUUCGAUGUUAAUUGAUGCAAUUGAUUGUUUAAAGUAGUGUAAUAGAGAGUCUAUUAAUGUUCUGGGUUGUAAAAACACGAACCCAUAACAUCAAAGUGCACGAAUUUGAAGAUUUAAGAAAGUUGGAAAAACCUAAUUUUGUUAUUUUUCACCAAAU